AUCCAGCUGACGAGUCGCAAAUAGGACGAAGUGAUGCGUGUCCUGGAU
rfam:Schistosoma mansoni strain Puerto Rico chromosome 6, complete genome